UACGGAGGAUUCGAGCGUUAUCCGGAUUUAUUGGGUUUAAAGGGUGCGUAGGCGGACUAUUAAGUCAGAGGUGAAAUACCUCAGCUUAACUGAGGCACUGCCUUUGAUACUGAUGGUCUAGAAUAUAAGUGGUGCAGGUGGAAUGACUCAUGUAGAGGUGACAUUCAUAUAUAUGAUUCAGAACACCGAUCGCGAAGGCAGCUUGCUGAUAUAGUAUUGACGCUGAGGCACGAAAGCGUGGGUAGCGAACAGGAUUAGAUACCCUGGUAGUCCACGCCGUAAACGAUGAUAACUCGUUGUCGGCGAUACACAGUCGGUGGCUAACCGAAAGCGAUAAGUUGUCCCCCUGGGGAGUACGAUCGCAAGGUAGAAACUCACAGGAAUUGACGGGGGCCCGCACAAGCGGAGGAGCAUGUGUUUUAAUUCGAUGAUACGCGAGGAACCUUACCUAGACUUGAGCGUAGAAGUAAUCAUUUAGAUAUAGAUGAGCUAGUAAUAGACUUUUACGAGGAGCUGCAUGGUUAUCGUCAGCUCGUGCCGUGAGGUGUCAGGUUAAGUCCUAUAACGAGCGCAACCCCUACUCUUAGUUGGCAGCAUGUUAUGAUGGGGACUCUAAGUCGUCCACCAGCGCAAUCUGCGAGGAAGGUGGGGAUGACGUCAAAUCAACACGGGCCUUACGUCUAGGGCGACACACGUGCUCCAAUGGCCGAUCCAGAGGGCAGCUACACAGUGAUGUGAUGCGCAUCUCUAAAAUCGCUUUCAGUUCGGAUCGGAGUUUGCAACCCGACUCCCUGAAGUUGGGUUCGCUAGUAAUUGCAGAUCAGCCAUGCUGCGGUGAAUACAUUCCCGGGCCU
rnacentral:rRNA from 1 species